rnacentral:rRNA from 1 species
AAGGAUGUGACAUUCCCCAGACAACCAGGAGGUUAGCUUAGAAGCAGCUACCCUUUAAAGAAAGCGUAAUAGCUCACUGGUCGAGUGGGUCUGCGCGGAAAAUGUAACGGGGCUAAGCGUAGUACCGAAGCUGCGGAUUUGAAUCUUAAGAUUCAAGUGGUAGGGGAGCAUUGUGUAAGCCUGCGAAGGUCGACCGUGAGGACGGCUGGAGGUAUCACAAGAGAUUAUGCUGACAUGAGUAGCGAAAAACAAGGUGAGAAACCUUGUCACCGAAAACCCAAGGUUUCCUACGUAAAGGUAAUCUGCGUAGGGUUAGUCGGUCCCUAAGGCGAGGCCGAAAGGCGUAGUUGAUGGGAAACGGGUUAAUAUUCCCGUACCACCUGCUGUUGCGAUGGGGGGACGGAGUAGGGUAGACGAUCCUGGCGCUGGUAGUCCAGGUUUAAGGUCGUAGGCGGGAGAAGGAGGCAAAUCCCUUUCUCUAUUAACGCUGAGAACUGAUGACGAGGGGGUAUCCCCGUAAAGUCGUUGAUCCCAUGCUUCCAAGAAAAGCCUCUAAGCUUCAGACAGCAGGUGACCGUACCGUAAACCGACUCAGGUGGGUGAGGAUAAAUGUCCUAAGGUGCUUGAGAGAACACUGGUUAAGGAACUCGGCAAAAUGAUACCGUAACUUCGGGAGAAGGUAUGCCCUCAUUAAGUGUAACGACUUGCUCGUGAAGCUGAAGAGGGUCGCAGAGAAAUGGCGGUAGCGACUGUUUACUAAAAACAUAGGACUCUGCAAAGUCGCAAGACGACGUAUAGGGUCUGACGCCUGCCCGGUGCCGGAAGGUUAAGGGGAUUUGUUAGCCGCAAGGUGAAGCUUUGAACCGAAGCCCCGGUAAACGGCGGCCGUAACUAUAACGGUCCUAAGGUAGCGAAAUUCCUUGUCGGGUAAGUUCCGACCUGCACGAAUGGCGUAACGAUUUCCGCGCUGUCUCAACCAGUGGCUCAGCGAAAUUGAAUUCUCGGUGAAGAUGCCGAGUACCCGCAGAAAGACGGAAAGACCCCGUGCACCUUUACUACAGCUUGACAGUGACAUUCGAAUCAGUUUGUGUAGGAUAGGUGGGAGACUUUGAAGCUGGGACGCUAGUCUCGGUGGAGUCAACCUUGAAAUACCACCCUGGUUGUUUUGGAUGUCUAACCCAGGUCCGUCAUCCGGAUCGGGGACACUGUCUGGUGGGUAGUUUGACUGGGGCGGUCGCCUCCCAAAGAGUAACGGAGGCGCGCGAAGGUUCCCUCAGGCUGAUUGGAAACCAGCCGUAGAGUGUAAAGGCAUAAGGGAGCUUGACUGCGAGACCAACAAGUCGAGCAGGUACGAAAGUAGGUCUUAGUGAUCCGGCGGUUCUGUAUGGAAGGGCCGUCGCUCAACGGAUAAAAGGUACUCCGGGGAUAACAGGCUGAUCUCCCCCAAGAGUUCACAUCGACGGGGAGGUUUGGCACCUCGAUGUCGGCUCAUCGCAUCCUGGGGCUGAAGUAGGUCCCAAGGGUUUGGCUGUUCGCCAAUUAAAGCGGUACGCGAGCUGGGUUUAAAACGUCGUGAGACAGUUUGGUCCCUAUCUGCCGUGGGCGCAGGAUACUUGAGAAGAGCUGUCCUUAGUACGAGAGGACCGGGAUGGACGUACCUCUAGUGUUCCAGUUGUUCCGCCAGGAGCAGUCGCUGGGUAGCUAUGUACGGAAAGGAUAACCGCUGAAAGCAUCUAAGCGGGAAGCCUCCUUCAAGAUUAGGUAUCCCUGGGAGCAAUCCCCUGAAGGCCCGUUGUAGACCACAACGUUGAUAGGCCGGGUGUGUAAGCGCAGCAAUGCGUUCAGCUGACCGGUACUAAUCGGCCGUGAGGCUUGAUCAU